AGCGGGCCAGCCCCAUUGGCGCCGAACGAAUUCGAAGGCGAGAAUGGUAUCGAUCACCAUCGCGCCCGUAAUGGAUACGCCGUAUGCGGGGGCAAGGGCUUCGGAGCUACCGAACAUCAGCAUGAGGGCGAGAACACCGGUCAAAAGGAUG
rnacentral:sRNA from 1 species